AGCCCCAAAACUGCCCAAAAACAGCAACAAGGAACCUCAAACUGGACACAGGAACCCCAAAACAGACACAAGGAGCCCCAAAACCAUCCCAAAAUGGGCACAGGGAACCUAAAACUCCCCCAAAAUGGGCACAGGGAACCCAAUACAGACAUAGGCAGCCCCAAAACUGCCCAAAAACAGGAACAAGGAACCCCAAACAGGACAUAGGAACCCCAAAACGGACAUAGGAAGUCCCAAAACCAUCCCAAAAUGGGCACAGAAUUCCCAAUACAGACAAGGGCAGCCCCAAAACUGCCCAACACAGGAACAAGGAACCCCAAACUGGACACAAGAACCCCAAAACAGACACAGGGAGUCUCAAAACCAACCCAAAAUGGGCACAAGAAACCCCAACAUUGCCCCAAGAUGGGCACAGGGAACCUAAAACUCCCCCAAAUUGGGCACAGGAUUCCCAAUACAGACAUAGGGAGCCCCAAAAGUGCCCAAAAACAGGAACAAGGAACCCCAAACAGGACAUAGGAACCCCAAAACAGACAUAGGAAGUCCCAAAACCAUCCCAAAAUGGGCACAGGAUACCCAAUACAGACAAGGGCAGCCCCAAAACUGCCCAACACAGGAACAAGGAACCCCAAACUGGACACAAGAACCCCAAAACAGACACAGGGAGUCCCAAAACCAUCCCAAAAUGGGCACAAGGAACCCCAACAUUGCCCCAAAAUGGGCACAGGGAGCCCCAAAACCAUCCCAAAAUGGGCACAGGAAACCUAAAACGCACACAGGGUGUCCCAAAACCACCCCAAAAUGGGCACAGGGAACCCCCAAAACACAGGGAACCCCAAACCACACCAAAAUGUGUGAUGAGAACCCCAAAACCAUCCCCAAACGUGCUAGAAGGAACCCCAAAAUAGCCCCAAAACAGACACGCAGACCCCAAUCCCGAACCCAAAACUGCCCCCCGCUGAGUGCAGGAAAUCCCAAACAAACACACAGCACCCCAAACCAUCCCAAAGUAUGCACAGAAACACCCCAAAUCACCCCAAAAUUUGCACAGCAAACCCCAAAACAAACACAGGGAACCCUAAACCGCCCCAAAACGUGCAGAGAUCCCCCCCCCCCGGCAGAGACCCCCCCCCCCAAAUCACCCCAAAACGUGCAAAGAGACCCCCAAAACAGACCCCAAAAGUUAAGAGGGAGCCCCAAAACAAACCCAAUACGCAUGCAGGGAUCUCAAAACAGCCCCAAAAUAUAGAGACAGACCCCCAAAAUUACCCUACAACAUACAAAGGGACCCUACAGAACAACCCAAAACAUUCGCUGGGGUCUGGGGGGACUCUGGGGGUCCCCACAUUGGGUCUUGUGGAGGGAGGGGGGGUCUCCAUGUUGGGUCUGGGGGUCCACAGGGGUCUCUAGGUUGCCCCAUAUUGGGUCUAUGAGUCUAUGGGGGUCUCUAGGUGGCCCCACAUUGGGUCUGGGGUCUCUAGAGAUCUCUAAGUAUCCCCACAUAUGGUCUAUAAGCCUACAGAGCUCUCUGGGUGUCCCCAUAUUGGGUCUGGGGUCUACAGGGUCUCUAGGUACCCCCAUGUAGGGUCUGGGGUCC
rnacentral:lncRNA from 1 species